rnacentral:rRNA from 1 species
UUGGAGGGCAAGUCUGGUGCCAGCAGCCGCGGUAAUUCCAGCUCCAAUAGCGUAUAUUAAAGUUGUUGCAGUUAAAAAGCUCGUAGUUGAAUUUCGGGGUUAGUAGGUUGGUCAUGCCUCUGGUAUGUAUUGGUCUCACUGAUUCCUCCUUCCUGAUGAACCUUAAUGCCAUUUAUUUGGUGUUUUGGGGAAUUUGGACUGUUACUUUGAAAAAAUUAGAGUGUUUAAAGCAAGCUAACGCUUGAAUACAUUAGCAUGGAAUAAUGAAAUAGGACGUUCGAUCCUAUUUUGUUGGUUUCUAGGAUUGACGUAAUGAUUAAUAGGGAUAGUUGGGGGCAUUAGUAUUCAAUUGUCAGAGGUGAAAUUCUUGGAUUUAUUGAAGACUAACUACUGCGAAAGCAUUUGCCAAGGAUGUUUUCAUUAAUCAAGAACGAAAGUUAGGGGAUCGAAGACGAUCAGAUACCGUCGUAGUCUUAACCAUAAACUAUGCCGACUAGGGAUCGGAUGAUGUUAAUUUUUUAAUGACUCAUUCGGCGCCUUACGGGAAAC